rnacentral:rRNA from 1 species
GUUAAGCGACUAAGCGUACACGGUGGAUGCCCUGGCAGUCAGAGGCGAUGAAGGACGUGCUAAUCUGCGAUAAGCGUCGGUAAGGUGAUAUGAACCGUUAUAACCGGCGAUUUCCGAAUGGGGAAACCCAGUGUGUUUCGACACACUAUCAUUAACUGAAUCCAUAGGUUAAUGAGGCGAACCGGGGGAACUGAAACAUCUAAGUACCCCGAGGAAAAGAAAUCAACCGAGAUUCCCCCAGUAGCGGCGAGCGAACGGGGAGCAGCCCAGAGCCUGAAUCAGUGUGUGUGUUAGUGGAAGCGUCUGGAAAGGCGCGCGAUACAGGGUGACAGCCCCGUACACAAAAAUGCACAUA